rnacentral:lncRNA from 1 species
AGUUAUUUGAUUGUCGAGUCAUCGUUAGUUUAUAUUCAAUGGUUUAAUGACUUCCCCUACCUUAGCUGAUGUGUAUGCAUAGGUAUUUGGAAAUUAUAGCAAGGCAUCUAUUUAACUUACGAAUCUAUAUUACCACAUUAUUCAUAUCCAACAUUUGUAAAACAGUUGGUGCUUUUUGAAGUUAAAAUAUAUCUGCAGUUUACUCUAUGAAAAUGUAUACAUGGAUCAAUAAAAACAUGCCAGGUAAAAUUCUUCCGUGAUUUUCAGUGAUAACAGGGUAGUAAUUUAAUACAAGUGUUUUAAUUUGUAUUUCAAGGCACUCUCAGGUUUUUACAUGUUUUCAAGUGGAUUGCUCAUGUUCCGAGGUUGCUAUCAUACAACUGAUCACCCAGGCAUUUAAAAGUGCAUAACGACACAAGAUUUUAUAUUUCAGCAGGCAACUGCUUCAGUCAAGGGCAGGUUUCUCAACACCCCUUCUUCCUCACCGAGCCCAUCAGUGAAGUUCAGUGAAAUGAAUAACAUAAUUGGUGGUUGGUUCAAUCACUACCAGUCUAGACUAGCCCAGACGCAUCAAUUAGAGGGGGCUGUCUUUUAAAGGGAGAGUGCAACCGAAACAAGCAGGGCAUUAUUGAUACUGAUCUUUAAAAGUGCAAAUCCAGCUUGGCAGAUUAAAAAAAAAAAAAUAAGGCGGGGAACUGGGGCGGGGGUGCGUUGCGGGAAGAAAAGAGAAAGAAGUGAACUGGAGCUUUCGGACACAGAAGGACAGGAAGCUUGAGAGAAAAGGAGAGGAUAAUGAGUGAAAUGCAAUGCAGCACCUCCUUGGAACACACAGUUACAAUUCAGUUCACAGGGCACACUGGCUCACCGUAUUUUUAACUAGUUUCUCUCCCCACCUCCUUUUUAAAAAUUCCUUUUUUGCCUCUGUUUCCAAAGAAAUGCCAGCUCAAAACCAAGGCAGUUGGAAUUUAACAGCUCUAGGAAGCUCUAGUGAGAAUAAAAGCCAAAUAAUAUGAACCAGCCAAAAUUCCUUUUGCAACAUUUUUCCCCAAAAGAAAAAUACAGAAGAUAUUUCUUUUCAAGUCUCUAAUUCUACCUUUAAAAAAUAUGUGUACUAAUGAACAGUAUUCAUUUUAAAUCUAGAACCUGGGAAUAUAUUACUAUAGGCAAGACACCUUUAGGUAAAGAGCUCAUAAUUUUCCAUUGAAUACAGUAAAAUUAUAAAGAAUGUAACAAAGGCUUUGGUAAUUUGGUAGAGGGGCUUUUUGAUGAAAAAAAGACAGAUGAUUUAGAAAGCGAGGAACACAUCAAGCCUCAGGGAAAGAAAAUGUUUGAUUGGUAUUAAUUAAAACACUGCUAAUAUAUUCUAAUAAAAUCAAAUUUAACAUUCUAAAGUAAUCCUCUUGGUAUGUCAAAGGAAAAGAAAAGUAUUAUCUUAUUUGCAUCUCUGCAAUCCAAAUGCAUUUGCUCAUUCAGCAGAAUUAAUUUUUAUCACCAGCCUGUUUUAUCUCCUCACAGAUUUAGUCAAAGUUAUUCUUUCAAACUAGAAAGGAUCAGGGUGGGGAAUCCAUGGAAGGUAUUGGAAGACUAGUGACUGUAUUUAGUACCGGCUUUAUAUUUUACGAUGUUCUUUCUCUUCAUUCGCUGUAAUGGGGUGUGGAGGGAAACGGUGAGACCGCAGUGAGAAUGAUGAACGGUUCAUUUUUCCUCUUUCUCUCCUUGUACCUGCCAGAUUAUUUAAGAAUUUCAGCUGCCAAAUUAUACGAAUGCCAUUUAUUUACGUGACUGGUGUUGGUCUGUUGAUUAAUGUCUAAUGUUUUUCUAAUUUCAGACUUUAAUUUACCGAAAAUUCCUAAUGAAAAAGGCUCUUAAGCCAGAAACCAAUUGCCUCUUAUCGGUUAUCCCCAACUGUAGAUCUUCUAUGAGAAAGUGGGGAAGUGAAUGUAAAAUUUUAUUCACUACAAACUGAGUUCUUUGUUCCUUUAUUAAGUCAAAAUUUCUCCAGGAAAAUUUCAUAUUUUUAUGAAACAGCAAGUUUUAUGUUCUUUAUUGUUAAACUCUCACAACUGAUAAAAUUAUCCCGAAAUGACAUAACCAAAAUGCUUCUCCUCUCAUUAGUCUACCAUGACUAUGAUAUCUUAUGUAAAUAUGUGACUAACAAAAAAAAAAUGAAUGGGCCAUAAAUACUGAGGACCAUAUUUGCGUGUUUCCAAAGUGAGGGGUUCUGCGUCCUAUCAAGGAGAUGUAAACUACUGACUACACUACCGAUGAUGCUGGCUUUUUGCUCCAUUGCCUUUUCAAGUCUUCAACGUAAAAGAGCAAUCGCAGUUCGGUUUCACAUGUAUUGUUCUAUAAUCCAGGCAAUAAAUGCUAAUUAGUAAUGCUCAAGGAUCCGACCAUUCAGAGUAAUUAUCAUAAUUUACUUCUUCCUUGUUAAAGACAUUCCUUGCUGAUUAG